rnacentral:rRNA from 1 species
AAUGAACGUUGGCGGCAUGGAUUAGGCAUGCAAGUCGAGCGCGAAGUUUCAGCAAUGGAACUAAGAGCGGCGAAAGGGAGAGUAAUAGAUAGAUAGCUACCCUCGGGCCUGGGACAGCGGCGGGAAACUGCCGGUAAUUCCAGAUAACAUCCCCGGAUCAAAGGUUUACCACCUGAGGAGGCGUCUGUUUCCUAUCAGCUUGUUGGCGGGGUAACGGCCCACCAAGGCUACGACGGGUAUGGGGUGUGAGAGCAUGCCCCCACUCACUGGGACUGAGAUACUGCCCAGACACCUACGGGUGGCUGCAGUCGAGAAUCUUCGGCAAUGGGCGCAAGCCUGACCGAGCGAUGCCGCGUGCGGGAUGAAGGCCUUGGG